GGUUAAGCGACUAAGCGUACACGGUGGAUGCCCUGGCAGUCAGAGGCGAUGAAGGACGUGCUAAUCUGCGAUAAGCGUCGGUAAGGUGAUAUGAACCGUUAUAACCGGCGAUUUCCGAAUGGGGAAACCCAGUGUGAUUCGUCACACUAUCAUUAACUGAAUCCAUAGGUUAAUGAGGCGAACCGGGGGAACUGAAACAUCUAAGUACCCCGAGGAAAAGAAAUCAACCGAGAUUCCCCCAGUAGCGGCGAGCGAACGGGGAGCAGCCCAGAGCCUGAAUCAGUGUGUGUGUUAGUGGAAGCGUCUGGAAAGGCGCGCGAUACAGGGUGACAGCCCCGUACACAAAAAUGCACAUACUGUGAGCUCGAUGAGUAGGGCGGGACACGUGGUAUCCUGUCUGAAUAUGGGGGGACCAUCCUCCAAGGCUAAAUACUCCUGACUGACCGAUAGUGAACCAGUACCGUGAGGGAAAGGCGAAAAGAACCCCGGCGAGGGGAGUGAAAAAGAACCUGAAACCGUGUACGUACAAGCAGUGGGAGCCUCUUUAUGGGGUGACUGCGUACCUUUUGUAUAAUGGGUCAGCGACUUAUAUUCUGUAGCAAGGUUAACCGAAUAGGGGAGCCGAAGGGAAACCGAGUCUUAACUGGGCGUUAAGUUGCAGGGUAUAGACCCGAAACCCGGUGAUCUAGCCAUGGGCAGGUUGAAGGUUGGGUAACACUAACUGGAGGACCGAACCGACUAAUGUUGAAAAAUUAGCGGAUGACUUGUGGCUGGGGGUGAAAGGCCAAUCAAACCGGGAGAUAGCUGGUUCUCCCCGAAAGCUAUUUAGGUAGCGCCUCGUGAAUUCAUCUCCGGGGGUAGAGCACUGUUUCGGCAAGGGGGUCAUCCCGACUUACCAACCCGAUGCAAACUGCGAAUACCGGAGAAUGUUAUCACGGGAGACACACGGCGGGUGCUAACGUCCGUCGUGAAGAGGGAAACAACCCAGACCGCCAGCUAAGGUCCCAAAGUCAUGGUUAAGUGGGAAACGAUGUGGGAAGGCCCAGACAGCCAGGAUGUUGGCUUAGAAGCAGCCAUCAUUUAAAGAAAGCGUAAUAGCUCACUGGUCGAGUCGGCCUGCGCGGAAGAUGUAACGGGGCUAAACCAUGCACCGAAGCUGCGGCAGCGACGCUUAUGCGUUGUUGGGUAGGGGAGCGUUCUGUAAGCCUGUGAAGGUGUACUGUGAGGUAUGCUGGA
rnacentral:rRNA from 1 species